CAUUGAGUCAUAUGCAGGAGGGCCUAUUCAAGCUAGAUAUUUAAUGACAGUCGAUAACAGGAAGUUAUUUUCAGUCUGUCCUGUAGAAAGUGUGCAGUUCUUCUUCCGCUCCGCUAGAGGCGCAAGAGACCUCACGUUCAGCACGAGACUCACCUUUGGCUCUGUAAACAACACGACGCUUGACCACAGUCAAAACAAAGCUUUCUGACCGUUUUGAAGAUAUAAAAGUAAAUUUACUGCAGGUGACAGUCAGUGAGAGCCUUUAAAUGUCAUUUAUCAGCACACAUUUCAGCCCUUCAGGCAAAAACAGGCGACUAUCCCCGGAUGAAGUGCAGGAAUGCUGGACACUCCAUCACCUAGUUUGUGUUUGGACACAUGGACAGACGGUCGCUGUAAUUAAGCUCAUCUGCUCAUCAUGCUAAGUUCAGCCUACUUCACUGUCUUACCGCUUCAGGUGUGUCCGAGCCGUCACUGUUUUGUCUUACUGCCCCAGGAUUGUCCGUGCUUUUGCCUUACCGCAUCAGGUAUGUUUGUAAUCUGGUCCGUGUUUCACCAUGUGCUCGUGAGCCUUUGGUUUCCGCCUUCUUCUCCGCCCUCCGUUCUGUUAUACCGCCCCAGGUAUUUUCUUUGGUGUACUCCACACACCUGAGGUGGGUUUCGUACCCACAACUCUCCGUAACCUUGUCCGCAACCAACGGGUAUAGCCAGUAGUGCCAUUCUGGCUUUCACAUUGACACCUGCUUUUUGGCUCAUUUUGUUUUGUUUAAUGAUGGCAAUUUAACCAAAGCAAUAGUGAGGUUUGAACUCGGGUCUCCAAGAUGAAAGCCUAGUGCUUUAUCUCCUGAGCCACUGAAGCUCUGGAGUUUGAAUCUUCUUUUUCAGUUAAUUUAGUGAUACAUUAU